UGCCCAUCUUCUCUCUCUCUCUCUCUGUCUCUCUCUCUCUCUCCCUUCUCAACUCGCACUUGGCAUGAAACAUGAUAGUAAUUCGUCUGCAACUGCAACUCCUCCUUCCUCAAGCCCUAACCCUUCCCUCCUCCCUCAUCUCCUCGCCAAACCCCUCCCAAAACCCUAACCCUAAAAAACACCACCCCAAAUCCCUCACCCCCCUCCUCACCACCACCGCCGCCACCUCCUCCGGCCCCGGCCACCGCUUCCGCCAAAAACUCCUCUACCUCAAAACCCUAAAUGUAAAUCCUCAAAAAGCCCUCGAGAAAAACCCGAAUUUCCGUUCAACCCCGCUCGAAACCCUCAAAUCAGUCGAGCGUUUCCUCUCCUCGAUGGGCAUCGAGCGCCGCGCCUUCGGCCGCAUCUUCGAGAUGUGCCCCCACCUCCUCUCCGCCGACCCCUACUCCGACCUCUACCCCGUGUUCGAUUUCCUACUAAACGACGUCGGUAUCCCUUACCCCGACAUCCGAACAUCGAUCCUUCGGUGCCCUAGGCUCUUGGUUUCCAGCGUGGACGACCGGCUGAGUCCCACAUUGUUGUUUUUAAAAGGAAUAGGGUUUGUAGGAAACGACGCAAUUAAUUCGCAGACGUCUGUUCUGUUGGUGUCAAGCGUGGAAAACACUUUGAUUCCAAAACUGAACUUUUUGAAAGGUUUAGGGUUUGGUUAUGAUGAGGUGAGGACAUUCGUGUUGAGGUUGCCAUCGUUGUUGACGUAUAGUGUAGAGAGGAAUUUUAGGCCCAAGGUGCAGUAUUUCUUGGAGGAGAUGAAUGGGGAUUUGGGGGAAUUGAAGGGGUUUCCCCAGUAUUUUGGGUAUAGUUUGGAAGGGAGGAUAAAACCCCGGCACCGGAUGUUGGCCCAGUAUGGGUUUUCGCUUUCAUUGCCGGAGAUGCUGAAGUACAGUGAUGCGGAGUUCAAUGUGCGGUUUCUUGAUAUGCGGGUGCGAUUAGCUGAGGAAGGACGUUUGGGGUAUGGUGACCUCAUUUCCUCUCCAAACCCCACCAACCCCCCUAACCCAAAACAACAUUCCAAAACUCGAAUACCACUCACCCCCCUCCUUACCACCCCCAGCACCAUGGCCACCGCUACCUCCGACCCUGGCCAUCAUUUCUGUGAAAAAAAUCCUCUACCUCCAACCUCAAAGUAUAUCUCACCAAAGACCUAACAAAAACCCAGAUUUCCAAUCAAAUCCACUUGAAACCCUCAAAUCCGUCGAGAAUUGCCUCUCCUCGUUGGGCAUCCAGUGUUCAGCCUUCAGCCGCAUCUUCAAAAUGGACCCGGAGCUCCUCUCCUCCAAUCCCUAUUCUUACCUUCACCCCAUAAUUGAUUUCCUAUCGUCAAUAUGCCUUACCCCGAUAUCCGAAAAUCCAUCCUUCAAUGCCCUAGACUGUUGAUCCAGUGUAAAUAACCAAUUGAGACCUGCAUUGUUUUCGUGAAAAAAUUAGGGUUUGAGGGAGAUGACGUGAUAAAUUGCCACACGGCCUUCUUGUUGGUUUCAAGCGUGGAAGGCACUCUGAUUCUGAAACUGAACUUUUCGUGCGAAUUGGGUUAUGAUUUUAAGGAGAUGAAGACAAUGGUGUUGAGGUUGCCACUGUUGUUGACUCUUAGUAUAGAGGAAAAUUUUAGGCCCAAGAUGGAACAUUUCUUGGUAGAGAUGAAUGGGAAUCUGGGGGAAUUAAAGAGGUUUCCACAGUAUUUUGCAUUUGUUUGGAAGGGAGGAUAAAACUCCGACACUGGAUGUUAAUGGAGCAUGGAUUUUCACUUUUGUUGCCAGAGAUGUUAAAAUACAGUGAUGCAGAAUUCAAUGUGCAGUUGAUUGAUAUGCGGGCGCAAUUAGCUGAGGAAGAACAUUCAGGGACAACCCUAAGUUCGGGUUCACUCUUAUUUUGCAGCUGUAGGGAUUUUCCAAUGCCUAGGUCACCCUAAGAUGCCUCUGCUUUGAAUAUCCUUGAGGCCAAAAAUGUCGAAACACCACUUCUAUGUCUUCUUCAGUUUUUUUGAACAGGGCAUCAGGAAACUGCCGAUUUGAUUCCUAUUUGAGAAAAGCCGUUGCACAAAUUGCAGAUGUAAAAUUCAGAUUGAGAGAUUGAAUUGCAGCGGUGUAAUAUGAAGUUUCUCGCCCAGUUAGAUGGAUUUCUCCUAACAAAUUGGUCUUAUAUCUGGUACUGUGGAUCUCUAUCAGCCUUUAUGUCCACCUCACUUAUCCUGUUAUGUGUUCGAUGUUUCCACGCAGGAAGUCUAAUUCCAUAACUGAUAUUUCAAAGCAUCAUUCUCACCAAAGUACUCCCCCUACUGUUUUGCCACUGAAAAAGGCUCUAAAUGUAUCUGAUUAUUCAACAAUAAUUUAUUGAUUGACCCAAUGCUGUAAAGAAUAAAAAAGGCUCUAAAGAAUAAAAUUUGAGAGCGCUUGAAUUGAUCAUAGCUAGAGGAAAUCAUGGAAUACUUUAGGUAAGGAGACGAAGCAUGCUUUUUUAUUCUUCAAGGGUUUCUGUCUGAUCGGCAGUGAUCGUUAAUGGUAUAUACCACUUAUUGGUUA